GAUGGCACUACCUGAUGGCACUACCCUGAUGAUGUCUGUUAGCCAUGGCUGCUGCCCUCAACAUGGUGAGCCAUCCAGAAGUCCCAGCCUGGAGCCAGAGGCUGCUAUUGCAAGUCAGAUGGGAGAUGGCCUACAGUAUGUUAGGCAUCAGAAAAGUGGUGUUCGCAUGAAGGCAGAGUUGCCGCAGGCAAUUAUGAGAUUAGACACUUGACAUUUACUGCGAAAGGUACCAUCAGAGCACCUCUCCCUACCCUGCAGGAUACCUAUACCAGAAGAGUACAACAACGGCCCAAAAGUAUUUCAAAAGACAUUUCACGCUCUGACCACGGACUGUUUAAACCACUGAGGUCAAGCAGACGUCUCUGUUCCCACGUGGCAGACUGAGGGAACACCCACAAAACAGACUGGGGAUGAGUUUCUUUACUCCGCAUCCUGUACACACACACAACUCCUUAUACUACAUUACAUAGACUUGCCAGUUGCCAUACUGCACUUACACACACUGCGCUUUUAACCCCCUUAUCUGUGUCAAAUCAGAUAAGGUUGUGGUUGUGUUCAAACCAUGUCUACUGUUGUCUGUCAACAUCCACUUCAGUCAUACAUUUGAAAUGUCUUAAAUAAAUAACAAAAGUUAAAAUUG